AAAUUGAAGAGUUUGAUCAUGGCUCAGAUUGAACGCUGGCGGCAGGCUUAACACAUGCAAGUCGAACGGUAGCAGGGAGAAAGCUUGCUUUCUUUGCUGACGAGUGGCGGACGGGUGAGUAAUGCUUGGGGAUCUGGCUUAUGGAGGGGGAUAACGA
rnacentral:rRNA from 1 species